UCAGUGCCAAGGUCCAGUGCACCCAGC
rnacentral:piRNA from 1 species